rnacentral:rRNA from 1 species
UACGAAGGGGGCUAGCGUUGCUCGGAAUUACUGGGCGUAAAGGGCGCGUAGGCGGAUAGUUUAGUCAGAGGUAAAAGCCCAGGGCUCAACCUUGGAACUGCCUUUGAUACUGGCUAUCUUGAGUACGGGAGAGGUGUGUGGAACUCCGAGUGUAGAGGUGAAAUUCGUAGAUAUUCGGAAGAACACCAGUGGCGAAGGCGGCUCACUGGCCCGAUACUGACGCUGAGGCACGAAAGCGUGGGGAGCAAACAGG